UCUAGUCCAUCUGACAAGUCCUGGAAGAUUGUGUAUCACUACCCAGAAGGGAGCGCUCAACUCUCAGCCAGAUAUCUGUGGUAUUUCAGUGUGUCACCGAUAUGAUAACCACAGGUUCAUGAUGGCGUGGUAUUUCAGUGUGUCACCGAUAUGAUAACCACAGGUUCAUGAUGGCGUGGUAUUUCAGUGUGUCACUGAUAUGAUAACCACAGGUUCAUGAUGGCGUGGUAUUUCAGUGUGUCACCGAUAUGAUAACCACAGGUUCAUGAUGGCGUGGUAUUUCAGUGUGUCACCGAUAUGAUAACCACAGGUUCAUGAUGGCGUGGUAUUUCAGUGUGUCACCGAUAUAAUAACCACAGGUUCAUGAUGGCGUGGUAUUUCAGUGUGUCACCGAUAUGAUAACCACAGGUUCAUGAUGGCGUGGUAUUUCAGUGUGUCACCGAUAUAAUAACCACAGGUUCAUGAUGGCGUGGUAUUUCAGUGUGUCACCGAUAUAAUAACCACAGGUUCAUGAUGGCGUGGUAUUUCAGUGUGUCACCGAUAUAAUAACCACAGGUUCAUGAUGGCGUGGUAUUUCAGUGUGUCACCGAUAUAAUAACCACAGGUUCAUGAUGGCGUGGUAUUUCAGUGUGUCACCGAUAUAAUAACCACAGGUUCAUGAUGGCGUGGUAUUUCAGUGUGUCACCGAUAUAAUAACCACAGGUUCAUGAUGGCGUGGUAUUUCAGUGUGUCACCGAUAUAAUAACCACAGGUUCAUGAUGGUGUGAUAUUUCAGUGUGUCACCGAUAUAAUAACCACAGGUUCAUGAUGGCGUGGUAUUUCAGUGUG